UACGUAGGGUGCAAGCGUUAAUCGGAAUUACUGGGCGUAAAGCGUGCGUAGGUGGUGAGUUAAGUCUGUCGCGAAAGCCCCGGGCUCAACCUGGGAAUGGCGAUGGAUACUGGCUCGCUAGAGUGCGGUAGAGGAGAGUGGAAUUCCCGGUGUAGCAGUGAAAUGCGUAGAGAUCGGAAGGAACGUCGAUGGCGAAGGCAGCCACCUGGCAUCAUACUGACGCUGAGGCGCGAAAGCGUGGGGAGCGAACAGG
rnacentral:rRNA from 1 species